GCGGCGCCGCGGGGUCGGGGGGCGUUGGGCGGCGACGCGACGUCCGGCCCUUCCUGCCGCGCCAGCGCCGGGCGGCCCUGGGAGGCUCGGGGCGCGCCAGCCCUCCGCCCGGGGGGCCGAGUCGCGGCAGUUACGUAGCUGGACGCUGGUGAUUGCCUGUUUCUCCAAAGCAGCUACCUCCAGGUACUUUGAGCCGGUGAGGAUGGAAUAGGCGGCAAGAAAAAGCUCAGAGACCACUGGUCAGAAAGAGUGAGGGGUUCCUGUCACUGUGGAGCAGGGACAAGGAACCUCAACUCCGGUCUCAGGGUCUUCAGUGGUCACGUGAGGGAUUUCCAUUCUGUGGCCUGCAUCUUGUGGCGGAUCGUUUUGUGUCUCAUCCACGCAAUUGAAGUAAGAGUGCAAACUUCACUGGGCACUUGUCAUGGCCCUGGGCAGUGAUUACUGCCCCAUAAGUAACUUCCAAGCUACAGUGUCCAGAAUGUCUCCAGUUAGGGGAAUGAGCUGAUUUUUUUUUUUUUUGUAAACGGAGACUUAAGGAGUGUGCCUGUUAGAAUCCAUCUUAAGUGUACCUUGACUGUCCUGGUAAUGCAGAUCUGCACAAAUUGAUUAAAUUGCACAGAACUAAAUACACAGGAGUACGUGUAAAAUGAGGAAAUCGAAAUAAACUUGGUAAAUUGUAUCUGUUAAUAUUCUGACUGACGUGCAGGGUAGAGGAUGUGCCUCUAUUGUUUCUUAAAACCACGUUGAAUCUGUAAUUAUCUUCAAAUAAAAAGUUUAUUUUAAAAACUGGACAGAUACGGGGCGCCUGCAUGGCUCAGUUGGUUGAGCGACUGCCUUCGGCUCAGGUCAUGAUCCUGGAGUCCCGGGAUCGAGUCCCGCAUCCGGCUCCCUGCUCGGCAGGGAGUCUGCUUCUCCAAACUCUGACCCUCCCCCCUCUCAUGCUCUCUCUCUCUCAUUCUCUCUCUCAAAUAAAUAAAUAAACUCUUUAAAAAAAAAAAAAAACUGGACAGAUUAUGAGAAACCAAAAGAUAGAGGACCAUAUAAAUGCACCUACAAUUUUUGGAAGUUCGGUAGUCUCAAAACAGCUCCCCCACCCCUCCCCUUGGUAUUAACUGAAAUCUCAGCCAUUAACUGGGGCUGAAAUUCAGACCACUCGAUUCACUAAAGCAGAGACAAAGAUUUCAUUGUGUCUAUAAAUCACAAAGUCAUCUUUAACAUUUUAUGUUGAUUAUAUGAGAUUAUCUAUCUGCCACUUGAAAGGGUUACAGUGUUCAUUCCUUAAAUAUAGGUGCAGGUUUACACUUAUCCUUACUAAAUUACCAUUUUGCUGAGUUUUUUUCUUAAUCUUCACACUAGGCAUCUCUCCUGGAUUAGCAUUAUUCGAGUAUUUAUAAGGCUGCUGUCUAUAUAGACAUUCAUAAAUAUACCAGAAGGGACUGGACCAAGUCUGUGUGGCCUGCUUUGAGAUAGAUGCCCUCCUCUCAGACCCUCUUAAAUUCUUUCAUUGAUACUCUUGGGUUUAUAUAGCUGAGCAUAUCUACUAUCACACCUAGACUUCUGUAUCAUGUCCAUUAAAUCCUUACUAGACACUGUCACAUAUCUUGGAAAAUAUCAGUAUCUUGUGAUGGAAGGCAUUGCCCCAAUUUAUUAACCCUGCUCCCCUUUUGGAAGAGUUGGGUAAGACACUGAACCAGUGUGGACUUAGAGUGGUGAUGGCUUUCUUUUCUAAGAA